rnacentral:rRNA from 1 species
AUUCCAGCUCCAAUAGCGUAUAUUAAAGUUGUUGCAGUUAAAAAGCUCGUAGUUGGAUUUCUGGUAGGAGGUUAGGGCGCACUGUCGUGAGGCCCGCGUCUUCUGCCGUCCUUCUGUUAACCCUUCAUGGCAUUGAUUUGUCGGUUGGGGGCUCAGAUAUUUUACCUUGAGAAAAUUAGAGUGUUUCAGGCAGGCCUGUGCCCGGAUACAUUAGCAUGGAAUAAUGGAAUAGGACUUUAGCCUCUUCUGUUGGUCUGAGGGGUUGAAGUAAUGAUUAAUAGGGAUAGUUGGGGGCAUUAGUACUUAACUGUCAGAGGUGAAAUUCUCGGAUUUGUUAAAGACUAACUUAUGCGAAAGCAUUUGCCAAGGAUGUUUUCAUCG